GGAUUGUGUUGGAAGGCAGAAUAGACAAUGAAUAUUCCUUAAACAAGAAUACAUGUAUUGCCCUCCAUAUAAACUGUUGGAUUGCAUUUAAGGGAGAAACAAACAAUGAGUAUUCUAUGAACCAGAGUAUUGCCUUCGAUAUAAACAAAGACAUUAUUAAUAAGGACAAGAAAAACAAUCAAAGGUUUAUUUCAUAUCAUUGCCCUCCAAUUAACUUGAUGGAUUGUGUUUGAGGGCUCUAUUUUCAUAAAACAAAGUAUUGACCAACAUAUAUAGAUUGGUGGAUUAUCUUUGAGGGUGCAUGAUUCAAACAAUUGAUAUCUCUGGCUUACAUGUAAUAUACUUAUUGUGUUAGAGGGAGUGAGAAUCAUGAUUUUAAACCAGAUGUUAUUUAGUAGGUCAUGUUUGAGACUACUUCAAUGGUGGUAAAAUUGCCCUUCAUAUAAAUUUCAGUUUCGAACUGUGCUGAACACAGCUGGGAAAUGAGAAAACUAAUGUGUUUUUUCAUGAAUAUUUUAUUUAAGAAAAUGGCAUACAAUAUGAAAUUGACAUUGUUGUUACUUAGGUAGAUUAAUCUUUUAUGAAAAAAUUCUAGAUCUAAUUAAAACAUUGAGUGAGGGAGCUAGUGAAAGAAGACAGCAGAAAAUGAUACUAUUUAGUCUUACUCUCAUUAAGAUUAUCUUCCCUGUUACUCAACUUGCUGUAUAUAAAGAAUGCAUUAUUUUUUUUGUUUGUAAAAUGGUAUAUGUGCAAUAUUACAUGAUCUCUGUGCAUGUGGAUUAAAACUGACACGCUU
rnacentral:misc_RNA from 1 species